rnacentral:rRNA from 1 species
AACGAACGCUGGCGGCAUGCCUAACACAUGCAAGUCGAACGAGACCUUCGGGUCUAGUGGCGCACGGGUGCGUAACGCGUGGGAACCUGCCCUUAGGUUCGGAAUAACUCCCCGAAAGGGGUGCUAAUACCGGAUAAUGUCUUCGGACCAAAGAUUUAUCGCCUUUGGAUGGGCCCGCGUUGGAUUAGCUAGUUGGUAGGGUAAAAGCGUACCAAGGCGACGAUCCAUAGCUGGUCUGAGAGGAUGAUCAGCCACACUGGGACUGAGACACGGCCCAGACUCCUACGGGAGGCAGCAGUGGGGAAUAUUGGACAAUGGGCGAAAGCCUGAUCCAGCAAUGCCGCGGGAGUGAUGAAGGCCUUAGGGUUGUAAAGCUCUUUUACCCGGGAUGAUAAUGACAGUACCGGGAGAAUAAGCUCCGGCUAACUCCGU